rnacentral:misc_RNA from 1 species
AUGUCGCUGUUAUCGAAAAUUAAAAUGGCAACUGGUUCAAUACAAUAGUACGACACGAUAGAAUAUAAUAGAUGAUUAUACUAUUUAUUUAAUUUUUAUAUAAUUUUUACUAUUUGUGUUCUUUGUGAUUUAUUAUGAUGAAUUAUUAGCAAUGGGAGACCUAUUUGAUAUUGCAAAUUUAAUUACAACGGUUGGUGUUGAUAGAAUAAAAAUUAAACCGGAACCUGGAUUACCAGAAAAAUCUUCAAAUGAAAUAUUAACAGAAUUAUUUAGCACAUUUGAUGCUGAAGAGGAAAUAAUAUCCUUAGAAAAUACUGACCAACAAGUUCCAAAUGCAAGCGUUAAAGUUGAAAAAUCUCUUAAGUCUCAAAUUAAAAAAAAAAAAGCUAAAAAAAAACAUAAACAUAAGGAUAAAAAACAUAAAAAAAAGUCAAAACGAAAUUCAUCUGAGAGUAACAGUGAUCUUGAAAAUAUUAAAAAGAAAAAAAAGCAUAAAAAGAAGACAAAACGGAAACAUGAAGAUGAUUCAAGUAAGUCAUCAGAUUCAGAUGAACCCAAAAAUAAAAUUUCAAAACUGAGUACAUGUAGCAACAUGAAAAAGAAAAAUUAUAAUAAAAAUAAUGGAUCAGAACAACAAAACAUGAAUGAAUCAGAAAAUUUUGAAAAAUUAAUGAUUAAAAAAAAUUCAGAAUUAGAAAAUAUAUUUGAAAAGGAACCUGAUAGUCCCCAAUUACCACCCAUUUCUAAAAAAAUACAGGAUGAAUCUGAAGAACAAUUAAUAUCUAAAGUUCUUGAAAAACCAAAGCAAGGAUAUCAAGGAAAAAUAUUAAUAAAAGAUCUUAAAAAUAGUAUAGUUUAUAAUGAUACAGUUAGAGAAAUAGAAAUUAAAGAAAAAGAAAAAGCAGCAAGAAUGGAAGAUGGUGAAUUAUCUGACAGUAGUACAGAUAAUAAAACUCCGACAUUGAGUCCUAGUCCAAUUCGAUGUAUCUCUCUUAGAUCAUUGACUUUAAGUCCAACUUUGGAGAAUAUAGAAAAUAGAAUAUUAAGUCCUUUAAAAGGUGAACUAACAGCAAAAAAUGAUUUAAGAUUAAUUUUGAGAGAAAAAGAAAAAAAAAGAUUAGAAGAUGUGGAUAAAAGAGAAGGAAUAGAAAAAUCAAAAUUAUAUAUGGAUAAUGAAUAUAAAGAAAAAACAUAUAAUUAUAAUAAUAAAGUUGUAACAAGCAAAAAUAGCAAAUAUAAUCAUAAUUGUCAUUCACAAGAAAGAAAAAGAUCUGAAUCUCAUACAUGUAUGAAUUUACGUAGAAGUAGAAGCAGAGAAAAAGAUAAACGAAGAGAUAAAAGUAAAGACAGAUAUAAUAAAAGUCGAAGUAGCGAUCGACGAGAAUCUUCGAAAUGUAAGGAACGACGAAGAUAUAGAAGCCGCAGUGAUGAUAGAAGCAAGGAUAAGUAUAUACGUGGACGAAGUAGGAGUAGAGAACGAAAGGAACGAAUAGAAAUUGAUAAAAAGAAAUUAUUGGAAAUAGCAAGAAGAAAUGCAAUAAACAUGAUUAAACAAGGAACAUUACCAUUAGUACAACAAGAUAAAGCUAUUGCUGCAAUACAAGCUGGAGGAAAAACAGUAGAUGAACUCACAGAUUUUUGUAAAUCAUUAUCAAAAUCCGAAGCUUUAGGAGAACUUUCAAGUAUUUCUUCAGAGGAAGAUGGAAGUGAAUCUGAGAAAGGUUUUCAUCAUCCCUUUUUACUUAAAGGACGACCUAAUUCUAUUAUUAUGAAUAUUAAGGAUGCAAAACAAUUACCUACUAAGACAUUCCAAGAAAAAACAGUAGAAUCAUCAAAUCAAUUACGUUUACAAUUUCCUGUAUCAAGUGGUCAGCAUCAUAGAAAAAGUGAAAAUGAAUGGAUACCAGUUACUCCAAAGAAAUCAGAAACAAAAAAACAGUUUAUAUCAACUUCUGAAUCAAUUGAAUCUUUUCCUAUAAUACCUUCAACUACUUCUACAGUUCCAGUGCAAUCAAUAGUUUUUUCUCAACCAAUAGCAACAGAGGCAAUAGAUAUUGGUUCAAUAGUAUCUCAAAGAUUAGCAGCAAUGAGAAAAUUAAGAGAAAAUCCAAAUGAUAUAUGUGCCCAAAAUGAAAUGUAUCGAGCACAAAAUGAGAUGAAAACAUGGGCUGAAAGUAAACAAAUGCCAGGUCAAUUUACUGGGAGUACUGGAGCUAAAGUACUUUCACCUGCCGAGCUUACUUCAGGUUAUCAAGCUUGGGCUCGUAAGCUGGGAUAUUUAGCAUUAGUCUGCAUCCACCUGAGGGUUUGUUACAGGCACAUAACUACGUCAGAGAAGAAACAACUUCAGCGGCGUGAUGUCGAAUUUAUGAUUUUUUGGAUCAAUUAGUAUCAGCACAGCCUGUUUCGGGUGGGAUGGGUAUGGCUUUACUGCAGAAGAUGGGUUGGCGACCAGGGGAGGGUUUGGGAAAAAAUAAAGAAGGUACUCUUGAGCCCUUGCAGCUUGAAGUAAAAUUGGACAAACGAGGCCUUGUUUCAGAACAAGAUAUUGGACAAAAAAUAGGAAAAACAAUAAAACCUCUAGUACCAGCAAUCAAAACUUUAGAAGGAAAACAUCCAGUGUCAUUAUUAGGUGAAUAUUGUUCAAAACGAAAACUUGGUGCACCAGUUUAU